UUGGGUGCACUUAAUGAUUUUGCAGUUCUUCCUCCCCUACUCCACUUCCAAAGCGAGCUGUCCACUUUCCUCCACUCCCCCCACUUUUCUUCUCUCACUCGCGAGCUCGCGUAGACGCCGCCGCCUUCCCUUCCCUUCCCCUCCUCUGCUUCCAACCCUUCGCCGCUCGCCGCCGCCGUAUGGCGCCCACCGGGCGGCUCCUUGCGGUUGCCGCCCUCUCCUUCCUCUGUUUACACGGGCUGUUCGGUGAUUCGAGCAGUGCAUUUGCUCAGAGCCAGCCACCGCUUCACCGGAUCGUUCAUGCAGCGGAAAAUGACGGCGGCCUCAUGCCGGAGCUCCCACCGAGCGGCCUCAUGCCGAUGCCGGAGCUCUCACCUAGCGGCUCCCCCAAGCCAUUUGUCCCCUUCCUGGCGCCUGCUCCCCUCGCGCCAUUCUUUAACAACAGCACGCCAAAGCUCUCAGGGAAAUGCACAUUGAACUUCACCGCUGUUGAUAAACUGAUGACCACCACGGCCGUCGAUUGCUUUACCUCGUUCGCUCCGUUCUUGGCGAAUGUCAUUUGCUGCCCCCAGCUUCAGGCAACACUGACCAUCCUCAUAGGGCAGUCAAGCAAGCAGACUGGGUCUCUCGCGUUGGAUCCCACCGUUGCCAACUACUGCCUGUCGGAUAUCCAGGAGCUGCUGUUGAGUCAGGGUGCCAGUGAUAAUCUCCACAGCCUUUGCUCGGUUCAUCUCUCGAAUGUGACCGAGGGAUCUUGCCCUGUUAGCACGGUGGAUGCAUUUGAGAGUGUCAUCGACUCGUCGAAGCUCCUUGAGGCCUGUCGGAAGGUGGAUCCUGUUAAUGAAUGCUGCAGCCAGACAUGUCAGAAUGCUAUAAACGAAGCUGCCCAGAAGAUCUCUUUGAAGGAUGGAGGUUUGACGAGCUACGCUGGGAGUCCCAAAGUCGAUAGUUGCAGGAAUGUUGUUCUGAGAUGGCUAUCAAGCAGGCUUGACCCGCCGUCUGCAAAGCAAAUGCUGAGGCAGAUAUCUAACUGUAAUGUCAAUGGAGUUUGUCCACUAAGCUUUCCAGACACAAGUAAGGUGGCAAAAGAGUGCGUUGGAACAAUCAAGAACAGCACUACAUGUUGCAAGGCUAUGGCAAGUUAUGUAGCCCAUCUGCAAAAGCAAAGCUUCAUAACAAAUUUGCAAGCUUUAAAUUGUGCUGCUUUCCUUGGGGCAAAGUUGCAAAAGAUGAAUGUCAGCACGAAUGUUUAUAGCUCAUGCCAAAUAACUCUGAAGGAUUUUUCUCUUCAAGUUGGAUCUCAAGGUAAGUUAACAUUUUCAAGCUUUUUAUUACUUUGCUUUAAUAAUCUGGAUGUCUCCUUCCAAGCAUGCCCUCUGAUGCAUCCCUUGACCUCAUUUCUGGGAUUAGUUUCACAUGUGAUCUGAAUGAUAACAUUGCGGCCCCAUGGCCAUCUUCCAUGCAAGCACCAUCUUCGUCGUGCAAUAAAUCUGUCAAUAUUCCAGAGCGACCUGCAGCAACAUCGGCACAAAAUGGUGUGAACCACAAGAACAUGAAGCUAAGCCUUCUUAUUUCCUUGGGCUCCCUUUUUCUCGCGCUUUUGUUACAAGCUUAGUCCAGUCCAGUCCAGUUUGCCGAUUAUUCGUUCAGAUUCAGGAGAGCUAACUGGCAUCAAAGUGUUGUAGGUUCACAUGUUUUUUUAAAUCUCCUGUUAGCUAUAAGUGUAAUUUGUUGUAAGGCAAGGCAUAUAAUAAUAGUAAUAAUUUAUAUUCCUUUGUAUAGCGAGAAAGAAGGGUCAAAUUUUUAGAGAUGUGAAAUGUGCAUGACAAUUUGGUGGAAA